rnacentral:rRNA from 1 species
UGGCAUACUCUAAGCGUAGUAUAUUCUUCUCGCUUCUGUAGUUGUCCUGGCGGCUUGCCGUUAAACCCCUAUAUUUUCUAGUGGUUGACCUCGGAUUAGGUAGGAAUACCCGCUGAACUUAAGCAUAUCAAUAAGCGGAGGAAAAGAAACCAACAGGGAUUGCCCUAGUAACGGCGAGUGAAGCGGCAACAGCUCAAAUUUGAAAUCUGGCCCUAGCGGUCCGAGUUGUAAUUUGUAGAGGAUGCUUUUGGUUAGGUGCCUUCUGAGUUCCCUGGAACGGGACGCCAGAGAGGGUGAGAGCCCCGUACGGUUGGACACCGAGCCUCUAUAUAGCUCCUUCGACGAGUCGAGUAGUUUGGGAAUGCUGCUCUAAAUGGGAGGUAAAUUUCUUCUAAAGCUAAAUACCGGCCAGAGACCGAUAGCGCACAAGUAGAGUGAUCGAAAGAUGAAAAGUACUUUGAAAAGAGGGUUAAAUAGCACGUGAAAUUGUUGAAAGGGAAGCGUUUGCGACCAGACUUUUUCCAGGCGGAUCAUCCGGUGUUCUCACCGGUGCACUUCGCCUGGUUUAGGCCAGCAUCGGUUCUCUUAGGGGGAUAAAGGCCUGGGGAACGUAGCUCCUUCGGGAGUGUUAUAGCCCCUUGCGUAAUACCCUUCGGGGGACCGAGGAACGCGCAUCUGCAAGGAUGCUGGCGUAAUGGUCGUCAACGACCCGUCUUGAAACACGGACCAAGGAGUCGAACAUUUGUGCGAGUGUUUGGGUGUUAAACCCUCACGCGUAAUGAAAGUGAACGGAGGUGAGAGCCCUUCGGGGUGCAUCAUCGACCGAUCCUGAUGUCUUCGGAUGGAUUUGAGUAAGAGCAUAACUGUUCGGANCCGAAAGAUGGUGAACUAUGCGUGGAUAGGGUGAAGCCAGAGGAAACUCUGGUGGAGGCUCGCAGCGGUUCUGACGUGCAAAUCGAUCGUCAAAUCUGCGCAUGGGGGCGAAAGACUUAUCGAANCAUCUAGUAGCUGGUUACCGCCGAU